GAAAGGUAUCUAUUCCGAAGGCAUAUUUUGCUUUUGGAAAUGUAAUUAUAUAAGGUAGAGUAAUAUAGGGGCUUAUGGAUGCAAGGCAGUCGAUUGCUCAGUAAUACUUUUCUCUCUCUACUGCUAGUUGAGGCUACCUUUCCCCUUUAUCUCGCACCUAGCUAUCAUGUUUCUCUGGGAAUGAUCCUCUCAGUCUUAACAUGGCCUGAUCAACCUUCUCUGAACCCAGAUCAUGGAAGACCCAGAAGUAAGACACCUCCUUACUUAAGCCCAGAUCUCAGGCCAUUCUUGGGCAGUUUCUCCCUCAGUCCUCACCCCCCUUAUCCUGAUUGAGAUUAAUCUCACCUUACCUUUCACUUUUCUAGGAAGACUUUAUCCAAAAAAAUGUGUCGCCAAAGACUGAACGUAUUUAUGUUCUCCUUAAUGGAGUUAGGAUGACUUUGCAAAGAUGCACACGUAAUCAUGCCACCCUCCUGAUUAAAAACCUUUUAAUGGCCCCCAUUUCCCACUAGAUGAAGGCCAGAUUUCUCAACAUUAUGUGCAAGACUAUUUGUGAGAGUCCUCUUGCUUUCCCCUCCAGGGUCAUCUGUCAUUAAUAACACUGUGAUCUAGUAAAAUAAAUUUUCCCUCACUUCUCAAGAUUGUAGUAAGUGCUAUUCCUAAGGGCUCCCAUAGUCUCUGUGCUUGCCCCAUUGGAGCACAUUUCUCAAUUGUGAUUUUCUGUUUAUUUGUCUGUAUCUCCUCUGCACUGCAUGUUCCCUAUGGGUAGAGGCAGUGCCUUGUUCUCCGAUACAUCCUCCAGGAGGAGUCGCAGUGCCUGGAAGGAUGUUGCCAGUUCAAAAGUGCAGAAGCCAUACACACAGAGAAACUAGCUGUCACACAGAGGGUGAACAAGGAUUGUCAGGAUGUGACUAUGGAAGCCAGGAACUUGAAUGACAUGUGAUUUAUAUGAUGUAUUUAUUUCUCCCCCACUACCAUUCCUUGAGUAUACUGUUUUUUCCACCUUCAAUCUGAAGAAUUAUAGAAAUAAAAAAAGUCAAGAUAAUCAUUAAUGAAAAGGGUCAUUAGAAUGAUACCAAAUUUCAACUUCCAAUGGCACAUGGACACUGUAGAGAUCAAUGUGAUCUGAAAUUUUACUAACAGUUUUUAAUUACUGUCUCUCUUUAAAAUGAUCUGAUUGUAUUUUCCUGAAAACAAUAAUCAUCUAGAAGCAUUGCAAUAUCCAUAUUGUUACCCCCACCUUUUAUCCAUAUUGAUUAAGCUAUCUAUCCUGAGAUUAAAUUUACAAAAUAGAUUUAACAAGUUUUGGUGAUGUAAUAUAGCCUCCCAAUUAUGCAACUGUUACUCCUAAUAUUACCUAAGAAAGAUGUUUGAAUGGAACCACUGAAUUAAAGUCUUGGAAGAAUUUUAUUUAGUCUAGGGCUGAUUGCAUUUUAAUUUUUGUAAACAUUUGCUAGUUGUCAAUACUCACUUUUACUUCUUGAAAGACUUAAUAUACAUUCUGGGACCCUAAAG
rnacentral:lncRNA from 1 species